rnacentral:rRNA from 1 species
UUACUCGAGAGUUUGAUCCCGGCUCAGAAUCAACGCUGGCGGCGCGCUUAACACAUGCAAGUCGAACGAGAAAAUUCCCUUCGGGGAGUGAGUAAAGUGGCGAACGGGUGAGUAACACGUGGGUUACCUGCCCUCGAGUGGGGAAUAACUCUGGGAAACCGGGGCUAACACCGCAUACGAUCCUUCGGGAUGAAAGUCUUCGGACGCUCGAGGAGGGGCCCGCGGCCGAUUAGCUUGUUGGCGGGGUAAUGGCCCACCAAGGCAAAGAUCGGUAGCCGGCCUGAGAGGGCGCACGGUCACACUGGCACUGAGACACGGGCCAGACUCCUACGGGAGGCAGCAGUGAGGAAUCUUGGACAAUGGGGGAAACCCUGAUCCAGCGACGCCGCGUGAGUGAUGAAGCCUUUCGGGGUGUAAAGCUCUUUCAGCGGGGACAAUCAUGAUGGUACCCGCACAAGCAGCUGCGGCUAACUACGUGCCAGCAGCCGCGGUAAUACGUAGGCAGCAAGCGUUGUUCGGAAUUACUGGGCGUAAAGCGAGUGUAGGCGGUCUGCCAAGUCUGUUGUGAAAUCUCCCGGCUCAACUGGGAGGGUGCGUCGGAAACUGGCAGGCUCGAGUGCGAGAGGGGAGAGUGGAAUUCCUGGUGUAGCGGUGGAAUGCGUAGAUAUCAGGAGGAACACCGGUGGUGAAGACGGCUCUCUGGAUCGCCACUGACGCUGAGACUCGAAAGCGUGGGGAGCAAACAGGAUUAGAUACCCUGGUAGUCCACGCCCUAAACG